rnacentral:rRNA from 1 species
ACAAUUAGCUGUUGGGACACUAGAUGUCUUAGUAGCGAAGCUAACGCGUGAAAUUGUCCGCCUGGGGAGUACGGUCGCAAGAUUAAAACUCAAAUGAAUUGACGGGGACCCGCACAAGCGGUGGAUGAUGUGGAUUAAUUCGAUGCAACGCGAAGAACCUUACCUGGUCUUGACAUGUACGGAAUCUCUUAGAGAUAGGAGAGUGCCUUCGGGAACCGUAACACAGGUGCUGCAUGGCUGUCGUCAGCUCGUGUCGUGAGAUGUUGGGUUAAGUCCCGCAACGAGCGCAACCCUUGUCAUUAGUUGCCAUCAUUAAGUUGGGCACUCUAAUGAGACUGCCGGUGAUAUGCCGGAGGAAGGUGGGGAUGACGUCAAGUCCUCAUGGCCCUUAUGACCAGGGCUUCACACGUCAUACAACGGUCGGUACAGAGGGUAGCGAAGCCGCGAGGUGAAGCCAAUCUCAGAAAGCCGAUCGUAGUCCGGAUUGCACUCUGCAACUCGAGUGCAUGAAGUCGGAAUCGCUAGUAAUCGCAGGUCAGCAUACUGCGGUGAAUACGUUCCCGGGUCU